UUUUCUAACAAGGUUCUGUAAUUUUUGGACUAUAAGACUCACUUUGCACACCUCCCCCUCAAAUUUGGGAGGAAUAGUGGUUGUUAAUGCUGCUGUUGAGUUCUGUUUCCAUUUACAUUGGUGAAACAUUAUGUUAUUUAAUUAUUAAAUAUUUUA